rnacentral:misc_RNA from 1 species
AAAUGCGAUAACUAGUGUGAAUUGCAGAAUUCCGUGAAUCAUCGAGUCUUUGAACGCACAUUGCGCCCCCUGGUAUUCCGGGGGGCAUGCCUGUCCGAGCGUCAUUGCUGCCCAUCAAGCACGGCUUGUGUGUUGGGUCGUCGUCCCCUCUCCGGGGGGGACGGGCCCCAAAGGCAGCGGCGGCACCGCGUCCGAUCCUCGAGCGUAUGGGGCUUUGUCACCCGCUCUGUAGGCCCGGCCGGCGCUUGCCGAACGCAAAUCAAUCUUUUUCCAGGUUGACCUCGGAUGAGGUAGGGAUACCCGCUGAACUUAAGC